ACUCCUACGGGAGGCAGCAGUGGGGAAUAUUGCACAAUGGGGGAAACCCUGAUGCAGCCAUGCCGCGUGUGUGAAGAAGGCCUUCGGGUUGUAAAGACUUUCAGUAGGAGGAAGGUAGUGGUAGUUAACACCUGCACUAUUUGACGUUACCUACAGAAGAAGCACCGGCUAACGUCCGUGCCAGCAGCCGCGGUAAUACGGAGGGUGCGAGCGUUAAUCGGAAUUACUGGGCGUAAAGCGCAUGCAGGCGGCCUGUUAAGUCAGAUGUGAAAGCCCGGGGCUUAACCUCGGAAUUGCAUUUGAAACUGGC
rnacentral:rRNA from 1 species